AACCCGACUCCGUGAAGCUGGAUUCGCUAGUAAUCGCGCAUCAGCCAUGGCGCGGUGAAUACGUUCCCGGGCCUUGUACACACCGCCCGUCAAGCCAUGGAAGCCGGGGGUGCCUGAAGUGUGCAGCCGCAAGGAGCGCCCUAAGGUAAAACCGGUGACUGGGGCUAAGUCGUAACAAGGUACC
rnacentral:rRNA from 1 species